AUUUAGAGGUUUUGUUGUUUUUUUUUAAAGAUAAGUGAAAGAAGCUAAGCAGGGUCGGGCCUGGUUAGUACUUGGAUGGGAGACCACCUAGGAAGACCAGGUGCUGUAGGUG
rnacentral:rRNA from 1 species